rnacentral:lncRNA from 1 species
CCACAACCUUCAAACUAGAACAGCAGCACCAGCUACUCCCUGGGUCUCCAGCUCCCUCAAAAUUCAACUAUAGCACUGGCUGUUCCCCAGCGCCACCAGCUCCACAACCCUCAACUUACACGGUGGUAGCACCAGCUCCUCCCUAGGUCUCCAGCUACACGACCGUCAAACUUGAACUGCAACACCAGCUCCUCUUCGGCCUCCAGCUCCACAAUCCUCCAACAACAACAGCAACACCGGCUCCUCCCUGAAUCUCCAGCUCAACAACCCUCAGACUUGAGAGGCAGCACCGGCACCUCCCCAAGGCUCCAGCUCCAUGACCCUCAGAUUUGAACAGCGGUAGCACCAGCUCCUGUCCAGGUCUGCAGCUUCCAGUCCCUCAAAUAACAACAUUGCUCCUCCCUGGAUCUGCAGCUCCACGACCCUCAGACUAGAACACGAUCUGUCCUCCCUGGGUCACCAGCUUCCGAACCUUCGAACUAAAACAACAUUGCUCCUCCCUGGGUCUGCAGCUCCACGACCCUCAAACUAGAAAAAGACCUCUCCUCACUGUGUCGCCAGCUUCUGGACCCUCGAACUACAAAAACAUUGCUCCUGCCUGGGUCUGCAGCUCCACGACCCUCAAUCCAGAUCAAGAUCUCUCCUCCCUGUGUCAUCAGCUUCCUGACCCUCGAACUAUGACAGCAUUGCUCCUCCCUGGGCGCACCCUCAAACUAGAACAAGACCUCUCCACCCUGCGUCGCCAGUUUCCGGAGCCUCAAACUAAAACAACCUUGCUCCUCCCUGGGUCUGCAGCUCCACAACCCUCAAACUAGAACCAGACCUCUCCUCCCUGUGUUGCCAGCUUCCUGACCCUUGAACUAUGGAAACAUGGCUCCUCCCUAGGUCUGCAGCUCCACGACCCUCAAACUAAAACAAGAUCUCUCCUCCCUGGGUCUGCAGCUCCACGACCCUCAAACUAAAACAAGAUCUCUCCUCCCUGUGUCAUCAGCUUCCAGUCCCUCAAAUAACAACAUUGCUCCUCCCUGGGUCUGCAGCUCCACGACCCUCAAACUAAAACAAGACCUCUCCUCUCUAGGUCUGCAGCUUCCAGUCCCUCAAAUAACAACAUUGCUCCUCCCUGGAUCUGCAGCUCCAUGACUCUCAGACUACAACAAGAUCUCUCCUCCCUGGGUCACCAGCUUCCGGACCCUCGAACUACGAAAACAUUGCUCCUCCCUGGGUCUCCAGCUCCAUGACCCUCAAACUAAAACAAGAUCUCUCCUCCCUGUGUCAUCAGCUUCCAGUCCCUCAAAUAACAACAUUGCUCCUCCCUGGGUCUGCAGCUCCACGACCCUUAAACUAGAACAAGACCUCUCCUCACUGUGUCGCCAGCUUCCGGACCCUUGAACUAUGAAAACAUUGCUCCUCCCUGGGUCCGCAGCUCCACGACCCUCAAACUAAAACAAGAUCUCUCCUCCCUAGGUCUGCAGCUUCCAGUCCCUCAAAUAACAACAUUGCUCCUCCCUGGAUCUGCAGCUCCACGACCCUCAGACUAGAACAAGACCUCUCCUCCCUGAGUCACCAGCUUCCGAACCUUCGAACUAAAACAACAUUGCUCCUCCCUGGGUCCGCAGCUCCAUGACCCUCAAACUAGAACAAGACCUCUCCUCCCUAGGUCUGCAGCUUCCAGUCCCCAAAUAACAACAUUGCUCCUCCCUGGAUCUGCAGCUCCACGACCCUCAGACUAGAACAAGAUCUCUCCUCCCUGGGUCACCAGCUUCCGGACCCUGGAACUACAAAAACAUUGCUCCUCCCUGGGUCUGCAGCUCCACAACCCUCAAACUAAAACAAGAUCUCUCCUCCCUGUGUUGCCAGCUUCCGGACCCUCGAACUAUGACAACAUUGCUCCUCCCUGGGUCUGCAGCUCCACGACCCUCAAAGCAGAUCAAGAUCUCUCCUUCCUGUGUCAUCAGCUUCCUGACCCUUGAACUAUGACAACAUUGCUCCUCCCUGGGUCUGCAGCUCCAUGACUCUCAAACUAGAACAGCAGCACCAGCUCCUUCCUGGACCUCCAGGUCAAUGACUCUCAGACUUCAAAGGCAGCAGCAGCUCCACCCCCAGGCUCCAGCUCUAAAACCCUCAGAUGUGAGCAGUGGCAGCACCAGCUCCUUUCUGCGUCUCCGGCUUCAUGAUCCUUAAAUUAGAACAGCAGCGCCAUCUUCUCCCUGCGUCUCCAGCUCCAGGAACCUCAAACUGCAACAGGAGCACCUGUUCCUCUGGGAUUUUCACCUCCACGACCCUGAGGUGUCAGUGGCAGCACUGGCUCCUCCCCUGGGCUGCAGCUCCAGAACCCUCAAGAAUAAUCCCUUCUCAUGAAAUGUAGCAGUCAGGAAAACUGCAGAGGAA